UACGUAGGGACCAAGCGUUGUUCGGAUUUACUGGGCGUAAAGGGCGCGUAGGCGGCGUGGUAAGUCAGCUGUGAAAUCUCCGAGCUUAACUCGGAACGGUCAGCUGAUACUGCUGUGCUAGAGUACAGAAGGGGCAAUCGGAAUUCUUGGUGUAGCGGUGAAAUGCGUAGAGAUCAGGAAGAACAUCGGUGGCGAAGGCGCUCUGCUGGACCAUAACUGACACUCAGGGACGAAAGCUAGGGGAGCGAAUGGG
rnacentral:rRNA from 1 species